AACGUAAAACGUCUAAUCUACACGUUUAGCCGUUGAUGUGAAACUGUGAUUAGAUGGAUAAUGGUGGGCGACUAACCGUAGUCAACUAAAUUAUUUUA